rnacentral:rRNA from 1 species
AGAGCGAACGCUGGCGGCAGGCCUAACACAUGCAAGUCGAGCGCCCCGCAAGGGGAGCGGCAGACGGGAGAGUAACACGUGGGAACGUACCCUUUGGUUCGGAACAACACAGGGAAACUUGUGCUAAUACCGGAUAAGCCCUUACGGGGAAAGAUUUAUCGCCAAAGGAUCGGCCCGCGUCUGAUUAGCUUGUUGGUGAGGUAACGGCUCACCAAGGCUACGAUCAGUAGCUGGUCUGAGAGGAUGAUCAGCCUCACUGGGACUGAGACACGGCCCAGACUCCUACGGGAGGCAGCAGUGGGGAAUAUUGGACAAUGGGGGCAACCCUGAUCCAGCCAUGCCGCGUGAAUGAUGAAGGCCUUCGGGUUGUAAAGUUCUUUUGGUGGGACGAUGAUGACGGUACCACAGAAUAAGCUCCGGCUAACUUCGUGCCAGCAGCCGC